AGGCUUGGCUAAUUUUUUGUUGUUGUUGUAUUUUUAGUAGAGAUGGGGUUUCACCAUGCUGGCCAGGCUGGUCUUGAACUCCUGACCUCAGGUAAUCUGCCCACCUUGGUCCCCAAAAGUGCUGGGAUUACAGGUGUGAGCCACUGUGCCUGGCCAAGAUAACAAAUUUUACAAGCAAAUUUAGAAGACUAUAUGAGCAACCUGAGUAAAACUUAAUAAAAUUGUGAAAUGAUUAAGGAAAAGUGAGACUUUGGAAAAUGUUGUAGGUCAAAAGAUACCUGAGCAGGGACAAUAGACAAAUGAGUUAGGGAAAUAUGAGACAAAGUUUAACAUCUGCAACGUACAAUAAGGAUUUACAAAUAAGAAUGACUUAACUCAAUAGAAAAAUGGGCAAGGAUAAAAAUGGGCAAUUCAUAGAAGAGUUCAUCCAAAUGGCCAAAAAAAGAAAAAGGAAACGUGCUCAGAUCCAGCAGUAGGAAAACGCAACUUAAAGUAACAAUGAGAGCUCAUUUUAUACCCACAGCUAAAACCUGCAUUUCUGGACGGGAAGCACAGGGAAAGAUAUCUCAUACGUUGUUUGUGGAAACGUGAAACAUUACUGUUUUUUUGAAAAGCAAACAUUAUUAAAAGUAUAUAUAUAAUAUACAUUAAAAACGUAUAGAAUUUAUAUAUAUCUCCAUUGAUCUAGCACCUCACUUUUAGGUAUUUAUUCCACAAGAACACAAACCUUCGAGAGUCUAGGCAUCUGAAUAGAAUUUUUUUUGCCUCAUGUUUAUAGUUGAAGAAAAGAUAAAGCUAUUGUUCAUCAAUAGGUGGAUGGCUGAAUCAAUCAUGGAAUAUUCACACUAUGGAAUAUUGUGUACUGUCACAAAUGAUUUGAAACUUAUAUCAGUUUAUUUGGGGGGAUUUCCUUGAAGUACUAUUGAAUAAAAAAAGCAAAAUGCAAGAGAAUAUAUAGAAUAUGAUUCCAUUUUUAUAAAAUAACAAUUAAAAUCUCUAAUACAUGCAUAUGUAUGUUUACAUACAAUUUAAAAGUGUCUGUCGGUGAUUAUCCGAUUAUGGAGAAAACAUACAGGAGGUUGGAUACAAUGGGUUACCUGGGGUCAAAGGGGAGGGUGGCAUAAGCUGACAUAAGCAGUGUGGAAAGAAAGGAGGGAGACAUUUUUGGCUCAUCCUCCACCAAAAAUAUAAAAAAGCAGAGGCCUUUGGAGUUGGACUCCCUCACCCUGCAGGAGCUAGGCCCCACCUCCAAAAUGCUUCACUCCCUUGGCCACCCCUCCUACCACCCUGUACAUGGCCUUCCAUGUUUGUUCCAUGAUACUUAAAUGAGGCAGUCAAAUCACCAAGGGGCAGGGAGGGCGGAGGGGUCAGGGCUGCUUUCAGGGCAUGAGAGAGGACCUCAGGGUCCAGAGUUCAGGCCCCACUCUCCCCAAGAGUGGGAUUUGCCAAGGCAGCUUGGCAAAUUCAUGAGUGAGGGGAAGAGGCCACAGGGAGCGUUAAUUCACUUGUUCUCUCAGCUGAAGUCCUCCUUCCAUCUCACUGACAGGCCAUGUCCUCAGAGAGGAUUCUUCUGAGUACCACGCCUCAAUGAUCUCGCCCUUCACACCCUUUCCUAGCACUUAUCACAAUUUGCUAUGGUUUUUGUAUGUGUGUUUAAUGUCUAUUUCCUCUAUAAGCGCCACACGGGGAAAUACACUCGCAGCGCCCAGUAUGAAAUAUGGCAGGGCUCUGGAAACGCUGGCUGCUUUCAGUCAUUGGCUUCCUCUCUCCUCCAUUGACUCACUCUUUUAUGCAUUUCUUUAUUCAUUUUUUCCCUUAUUCACUCCAGAAACAUGCUAUUGGUUCAUGCUUUUUCCUGAUGUGAAUCUUCCGCUUUCUAGGGUGAAUUUUUUGGAGAAGGUGGGAGUGGGGACAUGAUGGCAGAAGUCUGGGAAUGCAUCCACAACUUGGGAGGGCCUAGCUGGGUGAGUUGGAAGUUCUCCAGGGAAGGAGGGAAGAUUCCGGAAGGCCAGAAGUCUCAAGCAGAAGGUGCCAAAGGAGGAGAGAGGUGAAAGUGAUGUGGUGGAGGCUGGGCCAGGCAGACCCCUCUACUCCCAGGCAUGCCCUGGCUUUUCCCACUGCCAGGCCUCAGCUCCUGCCAUUUGUUCUGCCUGGAAAGCCUCUUGCCAUCUCCACGUGUUGAAAGCCUACCCUUCCUUGCAGAGCCAGCCCAGAUGUCCUCAAAGUCUUGCCUCACUCCACCAGCUGGAAGGCCCGCUCCCUGCUGCAAACAAACUUCCCGAGCAGAGAAUCUGGACCUCCCUCGAGGAACUGACCACUUCCUGGCUUGUGCUGUGGCGUGGCCCUUCUCUCCACCCCAUAGGCAGAGGCUCUAUCCAACUGUUCCCGGUAUCCUGCAGGGCUAGGGCCCAGCACAGAGCAGAUGCCCGAGACACUCUGGCUGGACGAAUGAGCACUGCUGAGUUUGGAGUAGGGCAAUGAUUAUAACCCCAUUUUACAGAUGCUGAAAUAGAGGCACAGAUAAGUGGUGGACUUGGCCUUGGUCCCACAGUGAACAAGCAGCAGAACCUAGACUCAGGCCUGCGUUUCUGGUCCCAGAGGCCAUGGUCUUUCUAGCGCAGCUUGGUGGGAGGUGAGGUAGGGUGGCGUAGAGUAAGAUGCGGGUCCUGGGAGCCAGCAAGCCAGGAAGAGCUGGAGUUUGGACGGCCAAGUUCAGGGAAAGCGCAGCUGGGGAGGAGCCAAGGUAUUUAUUAUGCUUGGUCUCCAGUUCCAAACAGAGCUGAUGGAUGGAGCUACUCCAGUUCCUAUAAACAGCUCUGGCCUCCCUCCCCCAACCCUCUCCAUUCUCAGCCACCACAGCCCAUGUGUUUCCAGUGUGAUAGGGGUAGGGGUGGGGGUCGGGGGAUGACCAAGAAGAGAGGAAUGGGAGCGAGGGGGGUGAGCAAAGGAGGGGGAAAGACAAAGAUUAGAUGGUGUCCUAGAGGCCCCAGGAAGUUGCAGAGAACGGAGGGUGGUGAGAGAGGAUUCUUGGCCUUCCCACCAGCCCCCGCUGCAGUGGGCGGCCUGAAGUCUGCAUUCCCCUGUCCUCUCUGUGUCCCCUGGGUCUGUUCAGAAAGCCUCCUCACCACAUUCUCUGAGAGUUUGUCUCAACUCCACAAGCUUCUGAGUCCUGGAGGGCAGGGGGCAUUCAUUCUGAGCUGGCUUUAGUCUGUGUUGGCUCACAGGCCCUGGGGACAGAGAGGACUCCGGGUAGGACCUUCCCCCAGGAGCUCCUGGCUUGGUGGCCAGGUCAGGCAGACACUGCUGAGGGCAGCCUAGGGCUAUGGGCAGCUGGAGGAGGGAAAUCCAGACAGUCUCCCCAGAGGUGGUGAUGGCGGUGAUGGCGGCAAGGGUGGUGGAAGGAGAUUGUGCGGGUGGGGCGGGGGCUGAGCUGGUUCUGGCAGAGGAGGCGGGAGAGGUGCAGGAGGCAGUGCCGCCUAAUGGUUAAGACUGCCGGCUCCAGAGUGGGGCAGCCUGGGUUCAAGUCUCAUCGCUGGAACUCAGUUCUCUAAAAUGGGGAUGGUAACAGUAGAAACCUCUUCAAGGUUGUCGGAAUGAAACACAACAAUGCAACAAUCCAGUGCUCAGCAUGGACUCACCCGGAUAUGCUUAACAAUGGCCAUCUCUGAGCAUGCGGUGAGAGGUGGUGGGAGAGAGAUGGGCCUCACGGGCCCUUGAGCUGCCUGAAGGACAGGGGCACAGAACACAGACGGCAGGUCCCAGAUCCUGGAGGGUGUGGCCAGCCUGUGGGUCUGAGAGAGUGAGUCGCUGGCGUGUCCCGGACCCUGUUACUGGCGGAGUGGCAUGCCAGCAAAGGGAACCCCAGGAGCUGGGUGCACCUCAGGCUGACUGUAGCCUGGAAGUGGCAGGACCUCCUCUCUCCCUGCAACUUGCCGAGAGCUUGGGAAGCUGGAUGCUCCGAUGACCUAGUUGGCAGCUGUGUCCACAUUUGGCUGAAAACAGGAAUUUCUGCCUCACUGGGGGUCUUGGCCAGGCUUUACAUUGUUGGUUAAACUUCUGCCGGCGGAGGCAGCAACAGGUGGCGAGCGUGGUGAGGAGGAUGGCAGAGACCAGUAUGAAGGCCUCCAGGAACCCUAGCCUUUCCCAGAAAAGGGUCUGACUUCCACAAUCACUGGGCUCAGGCUCGCCACCCACAGCUUCUGUCUCCGCUGACCAGUUCUGACCAAUUCACUGCUAAAUGCCUGACAGCUGCUCUAAAGGUCCAUUCUGACUGUGUGGUACCUGGGCUUAAAUCCCUCCAGGGUGAAGUCUGGGACCCUCAUCAGGGUGUUCGAGGCUGCUUGUAGCCCCUGCCAACCUGUCCUCCACCUCCCACCCCAGCCCACAUGCAGUGACCACAGCUGGCCACUGCCCAUCAUGCCUUCCCACACCCACCGCUGGGUCUCGUCCCUGCACUGGAUACACUAUCCAUCCCCAGCCAGCUCCACACGUGAACUCUUCACGCUGACCCCUCCCUGACUGUGCUUCCUCUCAGAGCUCUGACCCGCUGAACUGUGGCUGUUUGUGUGGGGACCUGCUAGACAGUGAGCUCAGAACAAACACGGACUGGUUUGGUGGAUGUGGAUGCCUCGGACCUGACUCGCAGGUCAUUUCUUCCUAAUGAAUGAGUUCCAGACGUCAUUCGUUCAGUAAAAUUCUGAGGUACUAAAUCAAUCACUUCUCUGGUAGGAAAGAAAACAGAUGGUUGAUAUUUUAAGAAUACAGUCAAAUACAGCCAGAGCAAGAAGAGUUCCGUUCACCCACUUCCUGGAAGGGGACACUGAGGCCUGAAGAUGGCAGUGACUUGCACAAAGUCACAGUGAGUCAAUGGCUGAGCUGGUAGGGAAGGAACACAGGCCUGCCUGUUCCUCUCCUGGCCCAGCUCUGUGCUUCCUCCUGAGAGCCCCAAGGUGAGUAGGGUCUGCUGGUGGGCAGGGCUGCUCUGGGAGGCCCAGCUAUCCAGUUCAGUCCAGGAAGGGCUUGAAGGCCAGGGCGGUGCUCAGAGCUGCACUUCCGGGGUCCCCAUGCCUCCUUCAGCUCUGAGCUCCCAGCAUUGCCUGACUUACCGUGGGAGGGAAUUGGAGGAAUUAGCCCUUUGCCAGAGUUUAGCACUCCCACCCACUGUCCUGGGCUAUCGGGAUGCCACUGCCCAGAUUCCUUUUGAGAACCAAAGACUUGCCAUCCAACUCCAUUUCACCAUCUCAUCAUGGAGGAACGCAAGGUAAGGAGAGACACCAGGCAGUCAAGGAGAGCUGGGUUCGUAGGUCCCUGGUAGGUCACACGUCUUCUUAGCUCCCUUGUGUA